UUUUGACAUGAGUAAAUUCUAGAUUAGGUAUUUGGCAGUUAACUCAUCUGGAUAUAUGGGAACAGAAGUGCCAGACACGUAGAUAAUAUUUGGAGAACAGGAGCAGACUUGGAACAUGCUGAAUAGAGGACAAGGAAAUGAGAAGAAUGUAUAUUCUGUGAUUGUUGGAUGAAGUGAUCUGUAGAUGUCUAUCAGGUCCAACUGGGUA
rnacentral:lncRNA from 10 species